rnacentral:rRNA from 1 species
GCUAGGAAUCUUGGGAAUGGGCGAAAGCCUGACCCAGCAACGCCGCGUGGGCGAUGAAGGCCUUCGGGUCGUAAAGCCCUUUUGUGGGGGAAGAUGAUGACGGUACCCCGCGAAUAAGCCACGGCUAACUACGUGCCAGCAGCCGCGGUAAUACGUAGGUGGCAAGCGUUGUCCGGAUUUACUGGGCGUAAAGGGCGUGCAGGCGGUCUGUUAAGUCUAGGGUGAAAGCUCCCGGCUCAACUGGGAGAGGUCCUUGGAUACUGGCGGACUUGAGGGAGGCAGAGGAAAGUGGAAUUCCCGGUGUAGUGGUGAUAUGCGUAGAUAUCGGGAGGAACACCAGUGGCGAAGGCGGCUUUCUGGGCCUUACCUGACGCUGAGACGCGAAAGCGUGGGGAGCGAACCGGAUUAGAAACCCCAGUAGUCC